rnacentral:rRNA from 1 species
AAAGGGUGCGUAGGUGGCUUUUUAAGUCAGGGGUGAAAGACGGUAGCUUAACUAUCGCAGUGCCCUUGAUACUGAAGAGCUUGAAUGAACUAGAGGUAGGCGGAAUGUGACAAGUAGCGGUGAAAUGCAUAGAUAUGUCACAGAACACCAAUUGCGAAGGCAGCUUACUAUGGUUAAAUUGACACUGAGGCACGAAAGCGUGGGGAUCAAACAGGAUUAGAUACCCUUGU